rnacentral:rRNA from 1 species
GAAGGGGGCUAGCGUUGUUCGGAAUCACUGGGCGUAAAGGGCGCGUAGGCGGCGCGACAAGUCAGGCGUGAAAGCCCCGGGCUCAACCCGGGAAUUGCGCUUGAUACUGUCGUGCUUGAGGCCGGGAGAGGAUGGCGGAAUUCCCAGUGGAGAGGUGAAAUUCGUAGAUAUUGGGAAGAACACCGGUGGCGAAGGCGGCCAUCUGGACCGGUUCUGACGCUGAGGCGCGAAAGCGUGGGGAGCAAACAGGAUUAGAUACCCUGGUAGUCCACGCCGUAAACGAUGAGUGCUAGACGUCGGGGGGUUCACCUUCCGGUGUCGCAGCUAACGCUUUAAGCACUCCGCCUGGGGAGUACGGGCGCAAGAUUA